rnacentral:lncRNA from 1 species
GAGUAAAACAUUUAAUUUCUUCCGGCUUUAUAUAAUUUUUUCAUAUCAUACGAUAACAAUCAUUUAUUUACAAAUAAUAAUAUUUGCAGCGGCAUGCACAUUAUUCACAAUUGUACAUCAAUACAAAAAAUAUUAUCAAAAUUACGGCAUCAUUUUAUUCCUUAGCUCCAAUAUGGAUGUGCUUGCGAAUGCAAUUAAGCGUCAAAAUAGUUCCAAUAAAUAUCCGUCACCAGUGCUAUAUGAACGGAGUCAACCUAUUUAUCACAUGAAAAUCAAUAUUACACACGGAUUUUUCUUCCUGCUAUCAAGAGUAUGAAAAUAGCACUUGCAUGUAUGUGGUCAUCACCUGAAAAGGGACAGCCAAGAUGGAUACACAAUUUCUUCAAUCACGUCAUCUCCUCCUUGUUUGCUACUAAGAUGAAUUAUUUUACCUAAUUACAUACAUCAUUAAGUACAUUAGCACCUAAUCUUAACAUAUAAAAUUUAGAUUAUUGCGACAUAACAAAGUAGACCUACGGUUUCCUAACUAUAGACUUAUUAAUAAACAUACCACAUGAAAUAACGUACCACAUGCAAUGAACAAUUACAGUACAAUUUUUUCUUAAUUACCGUAUUAAGAUUUCCCGCAUGUCAAUAUAAUGGACGCACCUAACAUUGAUACAACAUCUUCAACCUACUCUUCUAAAAAACUAGUAUAAAUGCUACAUCUGUCGUCUGAAAUUAUUUCUAACCACUAAGCACUACCAUCGCAUAGCUAAUAACGAGCUAAAGACGAACUAAUUACCACCCUGCAUGCACAAAUAAAUCAAUGUAUUGCAAAGCUCAUACCUUGAUCUUAAACUUCGUAGUUCACUUCGCUACACAAAUCCUACUCCUGAAGCUCUAAAUGACUCCAAAAAAUAAUAAAAUAAUACCUAACACAACAGAGAACACAUAGUUAUGAACUAAACAAAAAAGAGUACAAACUUCAUGCAUGCGAACGAAACCAACAAAAAUGGAUAGAUCUUACCUUCGCCUAUCUUUUCUUCAACUUCAGCAUAUUCAAAAUCCAACUCUAAAUCGCCCUAAAUCACGAGUGAAAGUGCCUAGUCAGUUUUGCUUUCUCUCUGUUCUUGCAUGCAGAGAGUAGAAGAGUAGGCCAGAGUGUGCUUGCGCACGGAGCAUACGCAUACUAUAUAAAAGGAAGAGCAUCCCUGUAGUGUCAGCACAACAGGUUCCCACGGCGUGUGAGUGAUUCCCGCAGUGCCGUCAUAUCCGCUGAGGCAAAAGAAGGAAAAACCGGAGUGAUUCCUGGGCAGCAGCAUCGCCAAAGCAACCAGUGCAGAGCACCGCUGAGUGUCGGCACUAAGGGUCAAAGUUCACAGAUUCCCGCGCGUGGGAAUGAGGGCUGUCUGUGUCGGAAUUAGCGCCGUCAGCUGUCGCGCGUGCAGGAAAGAUGCCGCCAGCAGCAGUGGCGGCAGGGCCCGCGCCUCGGCCCGCGUGCAGCAGCAGUUGUCGGCCAGCCAGCGACCACGCCCAGGAGAGGCCGCCUCCGCCCGUGGCGGCAGGGCCCACCUGGCCCGCCCCGUUCCGUCACGGCGCGGUGAGUAGUUGGGAUUCCCGUUCGGCUGGGUGGCCGCCUCCUGCGGUGGCGGCAGGGCCCGCCGCCUCCUGGCGUGGCGGCAGGUGCCACGUGUCGCCCGCCGCGGCUGCCGCCACUGCUGAGGGGGUCUUUUUUAUCAAAUUGAUUCACAGGUAGUCCUUUUUGUCAAUUCAUCUUGGCAGGGGGUCCUUUUGGACAAAAAAUCCGCGCGAUGGAGUUGGCCUAAGUGCUCUACUGCUACUUCCAUGAGAUGAGAUGAUCCCAACAUGGAUUUGUAUGGUCCGGUCGUUGCGUGAAUCAUGAGCCAAGAGGAAGAGGGGCCACCAUUUCCUUCUACUUGCUCCGCUGUAAGCCACAGCUAGCUAGCUAGAUCGUUGCUUGCCGAUCGAUCAUGAUCACUUCCCAAAACAAGCCGCGGUUGCUGCGCUGAGCCAACGAUAGCCACUUUCAGGCCAAGUAAUCCACCGAAAUAGGCGGAAUUGUGGGACUACUAUACUGGGGUGGAUGUUUUGUUUCCUCCGUGAUACCGUACCGAAUUCCCGCCAGCUAGCCGCAAGGAGAACGUGUUGCUUAGUUGUGGAUUGGAAGGCUAAAUUUCCUUGGGUUUUUUCUGUUGGCCUCAACUUAACUUUGAGGGUGAGAAGAGAAGAAAACCCUGGCUGGGCUGGCAUCAGUUGCUGAAUGGGAGCAUUUCCGGAAGAAAACCCGACACGCGACGCGCCGGGACGUUACAACUUAAAAGCUUGGAUUGUUGCAACAGCUAGCGCACACAUACAUUGCUUGCUUCAGGCUUCAGCUCACAACAACCAGCACGCCACAGCGGGGAAACAAAUCAAUUUCUUUUUUCUUUUCUCUUUUGUAUAAUUUUUUUUAAAGUCCAUUUCGUAAAACGAAAGAGCAGAGCAGACAAUAUACUCCGACGGCAUAGACCGUGCAUUGUACUGCUGUCUACUGGUGAGAUCCAUCGAUUUUCUAGUUGUAGUACAUUCCACCAGUCAGUUUGGCACAGACUAAUUAAUCAAACACUGGGAUGCAACUACUACACUAGUCCUGGUGUACUUGGAACCGAAGGAAGGUUCCUGGACACACCGAAUUUUAAGCGCGUAAUUCCUACUAGUACUCCUACUGGCUACCAGUAGUGCUGUGCUGGAUGGAUUAAGAAAAGAUUAACGUUCACUAGCCCAACGCAUUACACUAGUAUAGACUCAGAAGCCCAACAAUCAUUCAUUCAUUCCCCGUUUUCUUCAACCAAAAUCAUUUCGAUUCCGUGCCGCAUAAUAUAACCGGACAAACAACUUAAGCGUGUAUCACUCCCCUCACCUCACCUCACCUCACCUCACGUAUAUAACCAGCCAACAAGAAAGCAGACGCAGACAGAGAGGAGGCCAGCAGAUUAGCGAAAGAGAGAGAGAUCCAAAAAGCUCCACACACGAACCAUUUUGCUGCUGCUGCCUGCUGCCGCUUUGGCCUUUCUGCGCUUUUGGCUUUCGCAUCUCAACCGUGCGACGACGCGAGGAAUCAACACGGGCGCCAUGGAGAGGACCGGUUCCAGCGCUGACGGCACGGGUCCUAGCACCUCCUCCUCCUACUCCACCGCCGACGCCGACGACAAUGGCACCGCCGGCGGCGCCAAGGUCUGGCUCCUCGUGCUCCUCUUCUCCCUGCUCCUGCUGCUCUUCCUCCCCUCCGCGGUGCGCCGAGGCGGCGGCGGAUUCCAGCGCGGAGGGAUUACGCUCAAGAGCGGCUGGGACGUUGUCAACCUCUGCCUCGUGCUCUUCGCCAUCCUCUGCGGCCUGCUCGGCCGCGGUGGGGGCGACGGCGAUGGGGAGCCCCCCGGCCCCGCGGCGCCGGCGCCCAAGAGCCAUCUGCGGGUGUCCCCUGCGGCGGCGGCGACGCCGGAGCCGAGCACGGAGGACGUCUGGGCGAGCUUCAACAACUCCUACACCAACCACAACGCCCAGACGGGGAUCCGGCGGAUGAAGAGCAGCAGCUCCUACCCGGAGCUGCGGCUGGACAGCGACGGCGUCUGGGGCCUCGCGUCACCGGAGUUGGCCUGGCGCUCGUACGACGACGCCGAGCUGUACCGGACACGGCGAGACGAGCGGCCCGACAGGGCCCGGGACGCCGAUCGGUCGCUCAGGAGGACGUCGUCGGAUGUGAAGACGAUCCCGGUGGACACCUACGAGGUGCGCACCAGACCGCUGCCUCAGGAUGCGAGGAGGCGGAGGCGGAGUGUCGAGAGGCUCCCCAAGAUGGAUGAGGUGGAGGAGGAGAGGACGCAUCCGGCGGAGACGGAGACUCUCGCUACGCCGGCGAGGAGCAGGACCUGGAGCCCGGAGGAGCUGGACGCUACGCUGCUGGGGAUGGCGUCCGCACCACCGGCACCUGCCCCACCGCCGCAGCCUCGCCGUCGCCGACGCAGCCUCGAGAGGCUCCCCGAGAUGGUUGAGGUGGAGGAGAAGAGGACGCGUCCCACGGAGACUCGCGCUACGCCGGCGAGGAGCAGGACGUGGAGCCCGGAGGAGCUGGGCGCUACGCUAUUGGAGAUGGCGUCCGCAGAACCACCACCUGCCCCGCCGCAGCAGCCUCGCCGUCGCCGCCGCAGCCUCGAGAACCUGCCGACAAUGGAAGAAGUGGAGAAGGAGAUUACAGUGGAAGAGAUCAAUCACCCGCAGUCGCCAUCGCCAGCCAUGUUUCCCCCAGGGACUCCGCCGCCACCACCUCCUCCGCCACCGGCGGCAAUGUCGAGGAGCAAGAAGAAGAGGAGCGGCAGCGUGGGCGGCGCAAAGGAACUGGCCUCCGCCAUUGCUCUCUUCUACCAGAAGAAGCGCAAGAGCAUUAUCAUGAAGAGGGAGAGGCACCACCACCACCACCACCACCAUCUCUCCGAUGACCACUACUCGUCGCCUUCGUCCGAAGCAUCGGCGAGCCCCGAAGCUACCGGCCGUGCCAAUCCUCCACGCCCGCCACCGCCGCCACCCCCUCCCCCGCCGCCGCCGUCAUCCAUCUUCUCCAACCUCUUCAAGAAAGGAGGCAGCAAGAGCCGCCGCAUGAACUCCCUCGCGCCACCGCAACCGCCACCUCCGCCCCCACCAACGCGCCGAUCAAGGAAACCGCCACAGCCUCCGUCUCGCCCCGCUCCUCCGCAGCCAGCGCCAGCUCCAGUGAGGACACGGCCGCCGCGCGCGAGCGCGCACCCGCAACAGCAGAUACGCGCGCAGGGGUAUCCGCAGCAGCCGCCACUGUAUCCCAGGCGCGGUGUCGUGUACUACGCCUACCCGCUUCCUCCGCCGUCGCCCCCAAUGCCGCCACCGCCUCCUCCACCGCCGAUGCUGGAGGGGGAGGAGGAGGUUCCGUCGGUCACUGCGUCACCGGCACCGUCGUACUGCGCGAGCCCCGACGUGAACACCAAGGCGGACAACUUCAUCGAACGCUUCCGCGCCGGGCUGAAGCUGGAGAAGAUCAACUCGUACCGGGAGAAGCUGCAGAUCCAAGAAGGCUCGACCGUGACCAUGGCGGAGGAGGACGGGGAGUUCAUGAUCAUUGGGUCCCUCUUCGAAGAUGACGAUGACGAUAUGUCGUUGCCGGAGACGCCGGCAACCGCUACCGCAGCCGCUGUUGCCGUCGGCUUCUAAAUUCGAAUUCUACUUCUGACUUCCGAGGUGUUGCAUUGACGCUUGGAAAAAACAGAGAGAAAAGCGAAUAAUUUUUUUUCAAAACAAACAAAAUGAAAAGGGAAUUUAUUUUCGGUAUUGGGUUAUUUGAGGUAUUUUCCAUGAGAUUUGGUUCACUUUUCUUCUCAAAUUUUUGGGUAGUUUAGGAUAAUUGACAGUGAGAUUGGGUUAUUGAUUGCUUGUGGAGAGGAUGAUUUUUUUUUCGAGGGUACACAAAUUGCGUACCAUAACUUUAUAGAAGGAGAGAAAAUUAGUAUAUGACCCCUACCACUUGCUGCGAACAACGAGCGUAGCACAACAACACAUCCGGCUAUCCUCAGGACAGCCACACACGACAUCACAACUACAACACGGAUAACCUGCCCAAAACCGAAACACCUCGCCGCGUCUUGAUCGAUACCGAACACCUUCGAAGAAUAGCAACUCCAGCUUCCUUUGGGUUCAUCCGUGACGACCAUAUAUAGCGCCGGAGGAGAGCGGUCAGGGCCACGACGAACACCGGAGGAGCGCCAACAAGAAGCUCAGUCUCCUUGCAUGAUGCUCCCAACAGAGAAACGACGUCGUAGACGCCGCCAACAUGCCGCUCCAGAGGACCAAGGCUUUCGCCCGGAGACAACUGCCAACACCAAUCACGAGGGAGAUGGCGACACACUCGACAUCGCCUCCAGAGAGGGGAACGACAUCCGCGGGUGCCAUCGAUGCCGGCCGGCCAAAAACCGGAUAGGAUUUUCAUCCGUGACGUUGCGCAUCUCCACUCCGACGAGGUAGGCAGCACCGUUCCUGAAGCCUCGCAUCGCCGUCACCGCAGCAAAUUCGUCAAAGCCGCAAAGCCGAGGUCCCACACCACCCGCACUGCCGAGAGAGCGUGAACCAGACCUCCACCAACAUCGCAUCGAGGAGCAACCACAACCUCCAAGCAGAGCAAAAGCCAGAUCCGCUCCAACGGCCGUCGUCGACACCAAGAGACUGCCGCCAGAUUGGAUCUAGCCCGCCCCUCCAACCUCACUCCGGCGCCAACUCCACCGGGGCAUCGCCGCGAUCCCUCACACGGAGGCGGCCGGACGCCCGCUGCACGCCAAGACACCUUCCUGGCAGGGCCAUCUCGGCGCCGCCGCCCCCAUGGCUGAUCCAACGCCGCCGCCACCGCCGAUGCUGGCGCUCGACCUGCAGCCACCAACCAGAAGUGCUCCUCGCCAGGAUCCGAAGAAAGCCCUCGCCUUUGCCCCCGCUGUGCCUCCAACCCAACCGCGAGCCCCAGCGCCGCCCGCGAGAAGAACGCUGCGCAAGACCACGCCUGCCGCCCGCGCCUUGCACGCGCUCCGCCACGUCGCUCGUGCCAAGACCGAACGCCGCCAGCCUCCGCGCCGCCCGCCGGACAUAGCAACCCUGCGCGAAGAGGUGGGUCGGGGCGCGCCACCCCAGCCCGCACGCGCGCCGCGACCAACCAGGUCGCCGCGCAGCCCUGCUCCAUCUCCUGCCUGCGCGCCCCCACUGGCCACGACGCGCCGGCCUCCGAGCACCGCCGCCAGACGAAGAAGAAGGCCCCCCGCGGCCCCUACUCCAGGCGAGCGCGAGCAGAUCCCGCCGCCACCGUCACCGCGCGGGCUUUGCCCGGCGGCGCCCGCCGGCGGCGGCGGCAGGGAGGGGAGGGAGAGGGGGGAUCGAGGGGCCGGCAGCUAGGGUUUGAGCACUCGGGUCGCCCGCGGGGGAGCGACACGGGGCCGGAGAGGAUGAAUUCAGUGUUGAGGUUAUUACUCUAAUUGAAGAGAGUGGUAUAGGGAGCUUUAUGCGCAUGUUUUAAAAUGGCCAGAAAGCUCGGCGAGGUGAUACAAAUUUCAUGUGUCUACAGUCUAUAUACUAGUACUACUUAACAUGGCAGAAAGCUCGGCGAGGAGUAUCUAUAUCUAUACUACUAUUAAAAGAGCAAACAUGAAUUCCCUUAGAGACGCACCACAAAGCGUACACAGGAUUAUCAGAGGCGAGAGUCUCCGGCGCCACCGUCCGCUUCACCUCUGCUGGCCCACGGAAGUGAGCGCGGGGCGCCGUGGCCGCCUGCUGCUCUCCUCUACUGACCAACGGAUGCGAGCGCGGGCUGCCGCCGUCGCCAUGUUGACGCCCUCGCCACCAAGCCAGCAAACUUUGAUCAGGUACAAACUUCGAUCAGAAUUUUCUUUAAGACUUUACCUCAACAUCAAGCUGCCGGCUUGGUGUAGGAAGUUAGCUGACGGGAAACAAACCUAGGUGGCUCAUACUCUGUAGCAAGGAAAGCAAUCUGGUUUCAUGGAACACUGACUCUCCCCACAUAUUCAAUUAUUAGGAGUACCGUAAUUAGAAGAAUCUGCGCUUGAGACAACAAAAUAAAUAUUGACCAAAAUGACGGACAUCAGUCAAAGUUCACCUCGUGGCAGAUUUGGGUCAAAAUUCAUAAGUACAAAGAGUGACAUAAAAAAACAUGACUACAAUUGUACUCCUAUUUCUUAAUAUACCGAGUAAACAAAAUGCAAUGGCCUAUAAUAUAGUGUUUAUGUGCUUUGCAUGAAACAGAAUGCAUGUCACUGAAAAUAUCUCUAUUCUCUAAUAUGUUCUGUUAUUAUAUAAGCACAUAAUUGGGAGGACUGACAUCCAACUUGGCUAAAUGAAAGAAUUAGCAAACAUAAUUUAGGAGAUGCCUAUCUUUUGUAGCAUGGAAGUGAGAUAGUCAACAAGUUCUAUAUCAAAAGACCCUGAGCAUGGAAGACAGAAAAAGUGACAUCCCAACUGAUAAUAGGAAAAGGUAGACAACAUACACGAAACGGUAGAAUCGGCUCCUCCACUCAUGCUUCUCUGAAUUUCUACUUGCUAAAUCCAGAACAUGCUUCUCUGAAUUUCUACAACCUAAGUUCAGUAGAUGCUUCUCUGAAUGUUGGCUUGCCAAUUGGUUUUGUAUUGUAGACUUGAGAGUACUGUAUGAAGUCUAUUUGUGCCAAUGGAUUGCCACAUUUUUAUGUUAGUUUUAAGCCAUUUGAACGAAAUGACUACAAAAUCUCUAUGACAAUCUACGACUAAUCAUUUUGUGCAAAUAAAAAUCAGUACAUGCUUCUCUAUAUAUCUGAAAUACAAUUAAGCAAAAUUUGUUCUUAUAUGUUGGCCUGCCAAUUGGUAUUGGGUACCAUGCAUUAAUGUUUUUCAAAUGCUUAAUCCAAGUGCCACUUCUGUACUCAAUAAGGUGAACUUUUAUUUAAAUAAUUAAAUGUUGGUUUGCCGAAGUUUUAUUCUGAUCGAAUUCUGGUACUUACAUUGUAUGUUUACCAACAUUACAUAUGGCCAGGCAAUCAUUUGGGCUAUUUAUGUAGCAAUUCAUCAGACUCAGCAAUCGAGUAAACGCAGUUAAAGAGUAAGGUAUGUAUAUAUUUUUGGCAAUUUAAUUCCUUCUUCCACAUUGUAUGAUGUCAAGUUUCGGACAUAGUUAUAUAUAUGAUUUACUGUUGUAGGUUGUAGUGUUGGCAUGAAGAAUCGUAAUACGAAUUUAAUGACUAUCGUGCCUUACUGUCAAGAUGAAUAACGGCCAACUCAGAUAUUCUUUGAGUAUGUUUCUCCUAAAGCUAACUUACCAAUGUUUAGUGCAGAUGCUGAUAACUUUUCAGUUUGUUUCAAAGUUGUGUAGUUCAGAUUCCGAAAUUUUGUGUACGAUUUAUAGAAGAUGCUAUGUAAGAUGAUGACAGCAUACUCUGUACACGUGAGUUCAGCAUGGUUCGAUGAUGUAUGAUUUUUUUUAAAGAAAACCAUGAUUACAAGGACCUACAACAAACCUAAGUCUGCACAAGGUAAAAAUCAAAGUGGACUUCACCUCUUGAUCAUUUCUGAAAUUUCCAAAAUGAGAUGUACAAGACUUUCUUAUUUACUUGAUUUGCUAUUUACCCAGGGUAAAUAAAUAUAUCACCAACUCUUACCUACUUGGACCUUAUAGAUCCUGAAGAUUUUCUUGGAGACAGGUCAAAAAGCAGAUCCAAAAGAAUUAAAGAAACAAAGGGAAAGGAGAGGUAUGCACUAAACAGGGAUGAGAUAUUAAAAAGAAGACACGAGGCAAGGGAUAAUAACAAAGCUACAUCUCCUUUCUAAAUUGAAAGCGCACUCCAUCUAAGACACCCGUGGCCAUAUCACCUGGUUUGUCCAUUUUUUCUGUUCUUUAUGAUGUAGCAGUCACAAGUAUAAUCAUAUCUAUGAUCAAUUCUUUCUGACAGAUUUUCACACUGCGGAGAAGCCCACUGGGCAAUCUGCUUUCACUCAACUGCGAUACACACCAGCUGCGGAAGGUGAUGUUUUUAAGUUCAAUGGUUUGAGUUUAUGAAACAAAUGGUUGUCCAGUUGCUUCUGCUGUUUGCAACACAAGCAUAUAGAGCUAAAAUUAUCAACCACCGGAGAAAGCGAUUUUCUGAGACAACACGCUGAUAAACACCACUUAUCAAGCAUCACCAUCAGAAGAGACUAACUGGAAAAACCAAACUCUUAAAAAGGCUGCAAGCGAAGAGAACGUACCUCAAUAUGAGGUUGCUUGCUAUUAUGAAAGCAAGGUGCACUUGGUGUGUAUACAUCAUCCAGUGAAUCCAAGCUUGCUUCCCUUCACAUAUGCACAAGAAGAUUUCACAAAAAUCUAGCAAUCAAGGAACAUUUGACAAUCACAAUUAGACUAAGCAAGGAAGAUGUACCUGCACUGUAGCUAAACACUAGAACCCAACUGCAUACUGUACCUGUCCCAUAGUUGAUUGACUUGAUUCUGUCAGAGCUAAACCUGCAUGCAUUUUGAUAAUAGUUAGACGAAAAAAAUAUUAUUUACAUAGCAUUCAUUUGAGUUACAGAAGCUAUGCAAAUGCAUGUUGAUUGCCUCAACGAUCAGGAAAUUUUCCAGUACUGCAGCCCCAUGGAAU